AGCGAGCUGGCGCAGCCGCACGGGCAACCGUCAAUCCAGCACUUCACAAGUCUUGUCGUUCUGACAGGACAUCCAUCAACCCACCGGG
rnacentral:ncRNA from 1 species